rnacentral:rRNA from 1 species
GACGAACGCUGGCGGCGUGCUUAACACAUGCAAGUCGAACGGUAAGGCCCUUCGGGGUACACGAGUGGCGAACGGGUGAGUAACACGUGGGUGAUCUGCCCUGCACUUCGGGAUAAGCCUGGGAAACUGGGUCUAAUACCGGAUAGGACCACUGCCUGCAUGGGUGGUGGUGGAGAGCUUUUGCGGUGUGGGAUGGGCCCGCGGCCUAUCAGCUUGUUGGUGGGGUGAUGGCCUACCAAGGCGACGACGGGUAGCCGGCCGGAGAGGGUGACCGGGCACACUGGGACUGAGAGACGGCCCAGACUCCUACGGGAGGCAGCAGUGGGGAAUAUUGCACAAUGGGCGCAAGCCUGAUGCAGCGACGCCGCGUGAGGGAUGACGGCCUUCGGGUUGUAAACCUCUUUCAGCACCGACGAAGCGCAAGUGACGGUAGGUGCAGAAGAAGGACCGGCCAACUACGUGCCAGCAGCCGCGGUAA